GACGAACGCUGGCGGCGUGCUUAACACAUGCAAGUCGAACGGAAAGGCCCUGCUUUUGUGGGGUGCUCGAGUGGCGAACGGGUGAGUAACACGUGAGUAACCUGCCCUUGACUUUGGGAUAACUUCAGGAAAAUGGGGCUAAUAUCGGAUAGGAGCUCCUGCUGCAUGGUGGGGGUUGGAAAGUUUCGGCGGUUGGGGAUGGACUCGCGGCUUAUCAGCUUGUUGGUGGGGUAGUGGCUUACCAAGGCUUUGACGGGUAGCCGGCCUGAGAGGGUGACCGGCCACAUUGGGACUGAGAUACGGCCCAGACUCCUACGGGAGGCAGCAGUGGGGAAUAUUGCACAAUGGGCGGAAGCCUGAUGCAGCAACGCCGCGUGCGGGAUGACGGCCUUCGGGUUGUAAACCGCUUUCGCCGGUGACGAAGCGUGAGUGACGGUAAUGGGUAAAGAAGCACCGGCUAACUACGUG
rnacentral:rRNA from 1 species